rnacentral:ncRNA from 1 species
GGGGAAGUAUAGCAGAGAUGAAAUCCAAAGAAAUUGACGAAAGAGAACCACCAGGAGUGAAGCUCUUCUGAGCCUGCGGCUCAAUUGACUCAACAAGGGGAACUUAACCAAGCCCAGACACUGGAAGGAUUGAUAGCACUUUCUUGAUUCGGUGGGUGGUGAUGCAUGGCCGUUCCUAGUUGGUGGGGCGAUUUGUCUGGUUAAUUCCGGUAACGAACGUGUUCCGUACAGCACGUGAUGCCGUACGGAAAGUCGGUGCGAAUCGGCGCUGGGGGGCGGGCGGUCUGGUUCCCGGGGGGCUCUCGCUAGCGGCGGGGAACGCGGGUUCUCGCGAGCGAGUGCGCGGGACUCCCGGUAGGUCCAACCGCGACCGCUACACGGCGCGGCUCGCGAUUCCGCUGCCCGCAGGCAAGAUUCGGCCGCCCGGCUAUAUAACCGGGCGCGCCGUGCCUUGUCUUUUGCCUUGCCUUGUCUUUUGCCUGGUCAGUUGGGUAGCAAGUUGUGCUACGUAUUCGUGCACCAUUGUACUGGUGAUUACCAACGCGCUUUCUAGGCUUCCUAGGGCGAUCGGUCUUCCGUCUCAGAUUCGAACCACUGCUCUAGACACUCUUCUGAGUUGAAGGUGGCGCCAAUACACCCUGCUGGGUUGAGGCUAGUGGUUCGAAUCUCAUCUUGUGAUCGCGGACUCACGGCGUUGCCGUGAUCUUAGGAGCGACUCGACCGUCUCCUCGGAGCUUCAAGCUCCCUUGUUCCCCAAGCGUCCGUAGGGGGCCUUGGCGAUUUAGAAGCGACUAGGUCGCCGUCCUAGAGCUUUCACGCUCUUUCUUCCAAGUGUCUGUUGAGAACUUGGCUUUUUCGCAGGAGCGAUUCGGUGGUCCUGCGAGCCAGAGCUCUCAGAGCUCAUUUCCCACGCGUCCUCGGGACCGUGGCUGGCUAUUGGCCGUUAAGUCCGGAAGGGCAGGCCAUCCGAAACGACGGAGGUUGUUACGUUACACGUCCUUGACGUGCUCCGGGUGCCGCGCACCGUUGACGUCACGGACAUGUGUCCUACGGGACCUUGCGUUAGCGAACGUUGUUCGCUUGUACAUAGUUGCGUCAUUCUCCUGCGUUUUCCAAUUGCGUUUUACUGCGUUACUUCCGCGACACUCUAUUGCGUCUACUACGUUCGUUGCGUUUUACAUCGGCGUCUCUAAAUCAUUGCGUGCGUGUCCUCUCUCUCUAUCGCUUCGCCGCCGUCCCUGAGCGCGGCGCGUCUGCGCGCGGUGUUGUGUGUUCAGCAGGGUCUGUGGUUGAAGGCCGGGGCCCUAUGUGGCCCCGGCCUUCAAUCAGGACGACCGGUCGGUCCUCGAGCGGAAUCGAGCAGCCUGGGCGCAGGCGGACGUCGCUCUGCGCUCCCUUAUUAUCAACCAGCUCUCCGGAGCUAUCGUAUGUUCGGUCUUAUUCCGAACAGAACGAGACUUUAGCCUACUAAAUAGGCGUACCUUAUAGUAUCGCGAAGGCCCCCGGCUUCGGCCGACGGGUUUUUACUACCAAUGUAUACGUAAAUAAAUCUUCUUAGAGCGACAGCCGCUUCUAGCUGCACAAUACUGAACAAUGACAGGUCUGUGACGCUCUUAGAUAUUUUGAACCGCACGCGCGGUACAUUUAUGGAAUCAACGUGUUUUCCCUGACCGAAAGGCCAGUGUAACCCGCUGAACCUCCUUCAUGCUAGGAAUUGGGGCUUGCAAUUGUUCCCCAAGAACGAAGAAUUCCCAGUGAACGCGAGGCAUAAGCUCGUGUUGAUUACGUCUUUGCCCUUUAUACACACCGACCGUUGCUAUUACCGAUUGAAUGAUUUAGUGAGGUCUUCGGACUGGUGCGCAGUAGUACCUCGGGGCUGAUGUUGCUAGGAAGAUGACCAAACUUGAUAAUUUAGAAGGAGUAAAAGUCGUAACAAGGUUUCCAUAGGUGAAUCUAUGGAAU